rnacentral:rRNA from 1 species
UUGACCUCAGAUCAGGUAGGAAUACCCGCUGAACUUAAGCAUAUCAAUAAGCGGAGGAAAAGAAACCAACAGGGAUUGCCCUAGUAACGGCGAGUGAAGCGGCAACAGCUCAAAUUUGAAAUCUGGCGCAAGCCCGAGUUGUAAUUUGUAGAGGAUGUUUCUGGCGACGUGCCUUCCGAGUUCCCUGGAACGGGACGCCAUAGAGGGUGAGAGCCCCGUACGGUUGGAUGCCUAGCCUCUGUGAAACUCCUUCGACGAGUCGAGUAGUUUGGGAAUGCUGCUCUAAAUGGGAGGUAUACGUCUUCUAAAGCUAAAUACCGGCCAGAGACCGAUAGCGCACAAGUAGAGUGAUCGAAAGAUGAAAAGCACUUUGAAAAGAGGGUUAAAAAGUACGUGAAAUUGUUGAAAGGGAAGCGUUCAUGACCAGACUUGGGCAGGUUGAUCAUCCGUGGUUCUCCGCGGUGCACUCUGCCUGCCCAGGCCAGCAUCAGUUCGCCCCGGGGGAUAAAGGUUUUGGGAAUGUGGCUCCCUCGGGAGUGUUAUAGCCCACUGCGUAAUACCCU